GACGAACGCUGGCGGCGUGCUUAACACAUGCAAGUCGAACGAAGAGCGAUGGAAGCUUGCUUCUAUCAAUCUUAGUGGCGAACGGGUGAGUAACGCGUAAUCAACCUGCCCUUCAGAGGGGGACAACAGUUGGAAACGACUGCUAAUACCGCAUACGAUCUAACCUCGGCAUCGAGGAUAGAUGAAAGGUGGCCUCUACAUGUAAGCUAUCACUGAAGGAGGGGAUUGCGUCUGAUUAGCUAGUUGGAGGGGUAACGGCCCACCAAGGCGAUGAUCAGUAGCCGGUCUGAGAGGAUGAACGGCCACAUUGGGACUGAGACACGGCCCAGACUCCUACGGGAGGCAGCAGUGGGGAAUCUUCCGCAAUGGACGAAAGUCUGACGGAGCAACGCCGCGUGAGUGAUGACGGCCUUCGGGUUGUAAAGCUCUGUUAAUCGGGACGAAAGGCCUUCUUGCGAAUAGUUAGAA
rnacentral:rRNA from 1 species